UACGUAGGGGGCUAGCGUUGUCCGGAUUUAUUGGGCGUAAAGAGCGUGUAGGCGGCCAGGUAGGUCUGCUGUGAAAACUCGGAGGCUCAACCUCGAGACGUCGGCGGAAACCAUCUGGCUAGAGUCCGGAAGAGGAGAGUGGAAUUCCUGGUGUAGCGGUGAAAUGCGCAGAUAUCAGGAAGAACACCCGUGGCGAAGGCGGCUCUCUGGGACGGUACUGACGCUGAGACGCGAAAGCGUGGGGAGCGAACAGG
rnacentral:rRNA from 1 species